GACGAACGCUGGCGGCGUGCUUAACACAUGCAAGUCGAGCGGAGCGGCGGACGGGUGAGUAAGGCGUGUGUAACUGCCCCCCUCUCUGGGAUAACAGUUGGAAACGGCUGCUAAUACCGGAUAGUGGGGGGGGACUCGCGUCCUAUCAGCUUGUUGGUGGGGUAGUGGACUACCAAGGCGACGACGGGUAGCCGGCCUGAGCGGGCGACCGGCCACAUUGGGCUGAGAGACGGACCAAACCCCUACGGGAGGCAGCAGUGGGGAAGAUUGCACAAGGGGGGGAAGCAUGAUGCAGCAACGCCGGGUGCGGGAUGACGGCCUUCGGGUUGUAAACCGCUUUCAGCCAUGACGCGGUAGUGGCAGAAGAAGCACCGGCUAACUACGUGCCAGCCGCCGCGGUAAUAC
rnacentral:rRNA from 1 species